UUACCAGAGACCGCCAAGGACUCAUCUUCCCUACUGAGGUGUGGACAGCGUUGUUGAACUAUGGAUAUGUGGGCUGUGUGAGAGACCUGUUUGUGGACGGUCAGAGUAAAGACAUCCGUCGCCUGGCUGAGGCUCAGAGGGCUGUAGGAGUGAAACCUUCCUGCUCCAGAGAGCCCCCUAAACAYUGUCUGUCCAACCCCUGCCAACACAGCGCCACCUGCAGGGAGGGCUGGAACAGAUAUGUGUGUGACUGCUCUGGGACCGGAUACCUGGGACGGG